CCAGACACUACGCCCGGCUAAUUUUUUGUAUUUUCAAUAGAGAUGGGGUUUCACCGUGUUAGUCAAGAUGGUCUCUAUCUCCUGACCUCAUGAUCCGCCCACCUCGGCCUCCCAAAGUGCUGGGAUUACAGGCGUGAGCCACCGCGCCCGGCCGCCAUUUAUUCUUAGGUAUUCUGUUAUUUGCAGCCGAAGCAUUUUAACUGUUAAAUAAAAUAAUUUGCUGUGGAAGAAGAGACUGCUACUUGCCGGCGUGUCCUGGCUGUGAAAACAUCUUCUGCCUACAGUGACACCUUAACUGGAGUUGAUAGGGUUGAUUUUCGGCUGGUUGGUGACAAACAUGAAACCAUGGAAAAAUCCGCAGUUGUGUGGCUGGCCCUGCCCCCAGAGACCAGCGGUGAGAGCACAAGACUGCUCUUUCAUCUGUGACUAAAGAAACUAACAGGAUGACUCAGAGGCCAGGGGAAAACAUGCUCUAGGGAAUUCUUCUCUCAGACCCCUAAAAUGGGAGGAAGAUUAAUGGCUGGCAAAGUCACACUGCAGAUUAUAAUUCUCUUCCAGCAGGUUAUAAAGGGACACUGACAAACUCUGCAAGGUGGGGGAGAUGAAGAAAGGCAAAGGCUAUAUGGCUGCUUUCAAAGCCAUUUAUCAGAAAAGAAGAUAUCUCUCAAUAAAAUGACACCAUAUCUAAAAAUGCUUGCCUGGCAUCCCUAUCUGUUAUAUGCUGGAGUGUGAACUACAUGUGCCUUCAUUGUAAUCAGAAAAUAAAGUGUAUGCCCAUGAAAUAUAUAAAUAUCAGAUAUGAACGUAUGUUUAAUACAACAAACUGGCUAUAAACUU
rnacentral:lncRNA from 1 species